rnacentral:rRNA from 1 species
AGAGUUUGAUCCUGGCUCAGAUUGAACGCUGGCGGCAUGCCUUACACAUGCAAGUCGAACGGCAGCACGGGUGCUUGCACCUGGUGGCGAGUGGCGAACGGGUGAGUAAUAUAUUCGGAACGUACCUUAUCGUGGGGGAUAACGCAGCGAAAGCUGCGCUAAUACCGCAUACGCCCUGAGGGGGAAAGCGGGGGACCGUAAGGCCUCGCGCGAUUAGAGCGGCCGAUAUCUGAUUAGCUUGUUGGUGGGGUAAAAGCCCACCAAGGCGACGAUCAGUAGCUGGUCUGAGAGGACGAUCAGCCACACUGGGACUGAGACACGGCCCAGACUCCUACGGGAGGCAGCAGUGGGGAAUUUUGGACAAUGGGGGCAACCCUGAUCCAGCAAUGCCGCGUGAGUGAAGAAGGCCUUCGGGUUGUAAAGCUCUUUUGUCAGGGAAGAAACAGCAGCUCUAACACAGUCUGCGAAUGACGGUACCUGAAGAAUAAGCACCGGCUAACUACGUGCCAGCAGCCGCGGUAAUACGUAGGGUGCAAGCGUUAAUCGGAAUUACUGGGCGUAAAGCGUGCGCAGGCGGUUAUACAAGACAGGCGUGAAAU